rnacentral:rRNA from 1 species
UAGUUAAUUUUUAAAGGUAAAUUCUGCCCUAUGAUUAGUUAAAUGGCUGCAGUAUUCUGACUGUGCAAAGGUAGCAUAAUAAUUAGUCUUUUAAUUGGAGGCUGGUAUGAAUGAAUAGAUGAGGGAUUAAUUUUAUUUUAUUUAAUUUUAAAAUUUGAUAUUUAAGUAAGAAAGCUUAAUUUUUUUUCUGGGACGAUAAGACCCUAUAGAACUUUAAAUUUAUUAAAUUUUGUUUUUUUUUUAGUUUAAUUAUUUUAUAAUUUUAUUAAUUUUUUUUUUGGGGCGAAGGAUAAAUUUGACUUUAUUUUUUUUAUUCAUUUGAUUUAUGUUUUUUUGAUCCAUUUUAUGAUUAUAAGAUUAAGUUACCUUAGGGAUAACAGCGUUAUUUUAAUGAGGAGUUCAUAUCUAUAUUAAAGUUUGCGACCUCGAUGUUGAAUUAAGGUUAAAUUGAGGGGUAG